rnacentral:rRNA from 1 species
AGGAUUAGAUACCCUGGUAGUCCACGCCGUAAACGAUGUCGACUUGGAGGUUGUGCCCUUGAGGCGUGGCUUCCGGAGCUAACGCGUUAAGUCGACCGCCUGGGGAGUACGGCCGCAAGGUUAAAACUCAAAUGAAUUGACGGGGGCCCGCACAAGCGGUGGAGCAUGUGGUUUAAUUCGAUGCAACGCGAAGAACCUUACCUACUCUUGACAUCCAGAGAACUUAGCAGAGAUGCUUUGGUGCCUUCGGGAACUCUGAGACAGGUGCUGCAUGGCUGUCGUCAGCUCGUGUUGUGAAAUGUUGGGUUAAGUCCCGCAACGAGCGCAACCCUUAUCCUUUGUUGCCAGCGGUUCGGCCGGGAACUCAAAGGAGACUGCCAGUGAUAAACUGGAGGAAGGUGGGGAUGACGUCAAGUCAUCAUGGCCCUUACGAGUAGGGCUACACACGUGCUACAAUGGCAUAUACAAAGAGAAGCGACCUCGCGAGAGCAAGCGGACCUCAUAAAGUAUGUCGUAGUCCGGAUUGGAGUCUGCAACUCGACUCCAUGAAGUCGGAAUCGCUAGUAAUCGUAGAUCAGAAUGCUACGGUGAAUACGUUCCCGGGCCUUGUACACACCGCCCGUCACACCAUGGGAGUGGGUUGCAAAAGAAGUAGGUAGCUUAACCUUCGGGAGGGCGCUUACCACUUUGUGAUUCAUGACUGGGGUGAAGUCGUAACAAGGUA